rnacentral:rRNA from 1 species
GGAGGGUGCAAGCGUUAAUCGGAAUUACUGGGCGUAAAGCGAGUGUAGGUGGUCGAAUAAGUCGGAUGUGAAAGCCCUGGGCUUAACCUGGGAAUUGCAUUCGAUACUGUUCGGCUAGAGUCUGAUAGAGGGAAGUGGAAUUCCAGGUGUAGCGGUGAAAUGCGUAGAUAUCUGGAGGAACAUCAGUGGCGAAGGCGGCUUCCUGGAUCAAGACUGACACUGAGGCUCGAAAGCGUGGGGAGCAAACAGGAUUAGAUACCCUGGUAGUCCACGCCCUAAACUAUGUCAACUAGACGUUGGGUUCUUUAAUGAACUUAGUGUCGAAGCUAACGCGUUAAGUUGACCGCCUGGGGAGUACGGCCGCAAGGUUG